GCCGUCGUAGCUCAAUUGGCAGAGCAAUUGAUUUGUAAUCAAUAGGUUGGAGGUUCGAUUCCUCUCGUCGGCACCA
rnacentral:tRNA from 1 species